UGCCAGCAAGCCGCGGUAAUACAGAGGGUGCAAGCGUUAAUCGGAAUUACUGGGCGUAAAGCGCACGUAGGCGGUUUUUUAAGUCAGAUGUGAAAGCCCCGGGCUCAACCUGGGAAUUGCAUUUGAAACUGGAAAACUAGAGUGUGUGAGAGGGGGGUAGAAUUCCAAGUGUAGCGGUGAAAUGCGUAGAGAUUUGGAGGAAUACCAGUGGCGAAGGCGGCCCCCUGGCACAACACUGACGCUCAGGUGCGAAAGCGUGGGGAGCAAACAGGAUUAGAUACCCUGGUAGUCC
rnacentral:rRNA from 1 species